rnacentral:lncRNA from 1 species
ACAGCUGGGCCAAAGCUUCCCGGUGAGAGGCGAGCAGGGACCAGGUCACAGAGUUGUGCAGUUGGAUCAAUGCCCUGCUCAUUCGAUUUCUGAAAACAGUCACGCUCUUCAGUUUGAGAUCCACUGAAGGCUGCAACCAACUGCAUGUAGCCAGCCACCAGGUUCAGGGGAGAAUGUGUGAAAUUUACGAAAAUAAUCAUUUUGAGAAAGUAGCACCCUAAGUCAUCCCUUUACACCCCCUGGAGAUUUCAUCGAUACUCUGCGCUUCCUGCAUGUUGUUGGCCAAUUCCCAGGUCUUCUGGGCCAUACCACUCCCGGAAGCUGUCAUGGCCGAGGGACCGGAGAAGCUGUAGUCUCCACAACCAAGAUGCAACUUUAUUCUACUGGGCCUCAGCGUGCGGGCUUUGCACCUUCCCCACCACG